AUAAUAAUAAUAAUAAUGUAAGAUAUUUUAUAAGGGUGAGGUUGCCAUGGAAGUUCUGCAUCUAAUCUCUGAGUAGUUGCAAGGGAAGAGCUUAAUUUGCUUUACUGUCCAGUCCCAUAUUAUACCUCUUACACAUUCCUCUUUGCAAGAAACAUCCUGCAUUUUCAGAUCCCAACAGACCUCUGGAUUUUACUCAAAAAUGCUGACUCUUGAAACAGAUUAGAGGGAAAAUAUUUCCUACUAAAAGGUGUGUCUUACAUUGUUUAUUGGUUUCUUAUGCUCCCUAUUUGGUGUCAGGAUGUUGAAGUCCAACUAGCUAAUCCAUGGAGAAUCACUAGCUCCAGCCUCUUGAAUAUAAAAACACUAGAAUAGAUGUACUACAUCUUGAAAGUAGUAUAGGGAACUUAAGGAAGGGGGUCAGAAUAAGGGAGGAGAAAAACAAGAUGAAAGGCAGUUGUGUGAUCUUACUUCAAUAAAGAAUUUUAAUCCUGAUUGCUUCCCAUCCUUAUUUGAAAUGCAUCAGCUCUCUGAGGAUGCCCUGUAUUCCCACAAAAAAACGUGGUUGUAAAAAAGAAUGGCAUGGAGGGCAAGUCUCGGACAAAUGUGCAGUACCAACAAAUGAAGGAUUACACCAUAGAAGUCAGCAGAAACCCAAGUAUCCAAGGAAAAGCAUUCUAUUUACUUAGAGAACCAUCACAACAGUCAUUAGAGUGUCACCCUGACAUCAUAUGAGGGCCAUAUGGUUUUGCACUAACUCUGAAGAAAGAGAGGCACAAACUGAUUCAACACCACUUCCUGUGUCUUCGUUUUGCCUUGGAUCUCCUUACCUAGUCCCAGGCCUGAUUUGCUUGUGAGGUCUGACAGGAACAUAG